rnacentral:rRNA from 1 species
GACGAACGCUGGCGGCAUGCCUAACACAUGCAAGUCGAGCGAAUGAAGUUCCUUCGGGAACGGAUUUAGCGGCGGACGGGUGAGUAACACGUGGGCAACCUGCCUCAUAGAGGGGAAUAGCCUUCCGAAAGGGAGAUUAAUACCGCAUAAGAUUGUAGUACCGCAUGGUACAGUAAUUAAAGGAGCAAUCCGCUAUGAGAUGGGCCCGCGGCGCAUUAGCUAGUUGGUGAGGUAACGGCUCACCAAGGCGACGAUGCGUAGCCGACCUGAGAGGGUGAUCGGCCACAUUGGGACUGAGACACGGCCCAGACUCCUACGGGAGGCAGCAGUGGGGAAUAUUGCACAAUGGGGGAAACCCUGAUGCAGCAACGCCGCGUGCGUGAUGACGGCCUUCGGGUUGUAAAGCUCUGUCUUCAGGGGCGAUAAUGACGGUACCUGAGGAGGAAGCCACGGCUAACUACGUGCCAGCAGCCGCCGUAA